GAGAGUAAAACAGUACGUGAAAUUGUUGAAAGGGAAACGAUUGAAGUCAGUCAUGCCGGCGUUGGAUUCAGCUUGCUUCGCGGAGCUUGCGCAUUUCCUCGCAUGGCAGGUCAGCGUCAGUUUUGCGCGGCGUGAAAAGGCUCGGGUAAGGUAGCUCUCUUCGGGGAGUGUUAUAGACCUGGGCAAAUGCGCAGCGCGGGACUGAGGAUUGCAGCGGACACCUCUUCGGGGGCGCGGCGACCGAACCCUGCUCGGCCACCCUCGUUCGAUAGCGUGCUAACGGACGCGGGAGCGGCAGUGCACCGGAACAGGCAAGCCAGCGGUUCGCUUAGGAUGCUGACGUAAUGGCUUUAAACGA
rnacentral:rRNA from 1 species